AUUGAACGCUGGCGGCAUGCCUUACACAUGCAAGUCGAACGGCAGCACGUGUUCUUGCACCUGGUGGCGAGUGGCGAACGUGUGGGUAAUACAUCGGAACAUGUCCUGUAGUGGGGGAUAGCCCGGCGAAAGCCGGAUUAAUACCGCAUACGAUCUACGGAUGAAAGCGGGUGACCUUCGGGCCUGGCGCUAUAGGGUUGGCCGAUGGCUGAGUGGCUAGUUGGUGGGGGAAAGGCCUACGAAGGCGACGAUCCGUAGCUGGUCUGAGGGGGCGACCAGCGACACUGGGACUGAGACAGGGCCCAGACUCAUACGGGAGGCAGCAGUGGGGAAUGUUGAACAAUGGGCGAAAGCCUGAUCCAGCAACGCCGAGUGUGUGAAGAAGGUCUUCGGGUUGUAGAGCACUUCUGUCCGGAACGACAUCCUUGGCACUAAUACGGUCGGGGGAUGACGGUACCGGAAGAAUAAGCACCGGCUAACUACGUG
rnacentral:rRNA from 1 species